rnacentral:misc_RNA from 1 species
GAUGAAGAACGCAGCGAAAUGCGAUAAGUAGUGUGAAUUGCAGAAUUCAGUGAAUCAUCGAAUCUUUGAACGCACAUUGCGCCUCCUGGCAUUCCGGGAGGCAUGCCUGUUCGAGCGUCAUCAAACCCCAUCGUGCAAAUGAAUUAUUUUUUUUGCGCGGAAGUGACGAUUGAGCGAGAAUAACAAAUCCUCUCGCACCUCGUCGAAAUGAUUGCGGGCGGAAUUUGGGAUCGGGUUCCUCGGCGUAGUGUAUCAAUGCAUAUUUAUGCAACUUGCCGCGGAGUUGAGCCUGACCCACGCGUUCUCGCCGUACAAACACCUCAUUACUUUACAAGUUUUUGCCCUCGGAUCAGGUAGGGAUACCCGCUGAACUUAAGCAUAUCAAUAAGCGGAGGA